UCCAGAAUCGAAGGUGGAAGAUGAAUCAAUUAAUGAAAUCCGCAGGUUGCAUGGCCAAAAUGUAAAAGAAGAGCUCAUGAAAUUAGGAGAAACAAAAAAGAGUUUAGAAGAAGAAAUGAUGGAACUAAGCCAAGAACUGAAUGGUGUGAAAGAACAUAUACGGACGAAAAAACAUAUGUUAGACGAAGAACAAAUAGGAUUGGAUGACGACGAACAAAUAGGAUCAGAUGACGAUCAAUUCUCCAUUCAUUUCUCUCAUUCGAGAGCAUUUGGGAGCAAAAUGAGCAAAAGACGACCGAAAGCAGAUUUCAAGAGCCACACGAGCUGGGCCUUCCCACACGGACUCGACUUACAACCAUGGGACAGACCGUAUCGCUGAAAAACAAUUUUUAGAAUGGAUCCAUUAGAGAAUAUUGAAGAAAACAAUUCGAAAAACUCCAUUAGAGCCAACUUUGAAGCAGAUUUCCAUCAAGAUUGAAGGUCUCCUUUUAAUUUCUUAUGAAGUUUUUAUGAGUUUCUUUAUUUCUUGUGGUUAUUUUGACUUUGAGAUGUUUUUAUUCACAAUUAUAAACUAAUUCCCUAGAUACCCAAGGAAGAUGAACCCUAUGAUGAAUUCUAUUAUUUGAUUUCUAUUUUACGCGAUAAA